AAACUGAAACAGGCUAUUUUUAAGCUGAUCCAAAUUUUAGGACCACAUCAGGGUCUCUCACAGCGCUCCAUCGCAGCUGAGGUGGGACGCAGUAAGACAGUCAUUUUGGAAUUUAUUAAAUGAUCCCGAGGGUUAUGGAAC